AUGAAAAUAGUAAGCUGGAACUGCCGAGGGUUGGGGAAAGGCCCGACGGUUCAAAGUCUCCUUGAAAUGGGGAGAGUGGAGGACCCCGAUGUACUCUUUAUGUCGGAAACUCGGAUAACGGAAAAGGAAUUAGACAAGUUUAGAUAGUCUCUAGGUCUAACUCAGAUGCUUGCGUGGGAUCCGACUGGAUGGAGUAGGGGGAUUGCACUGUUUUGGAGAAGGGGGCUGAAUCUAUCUCUGUGA
rnacentral:rRNA from 1 species